UACGAAGGGUGCAAGCGUUACUCGGAAUUACUGGGCGUAAAGCGUGCGUAGGUGGUUUGUUAAGUCUGAUGGGAAAGCCCUGGGCUCAACCUGGGAAUGGCAUUGGAUACUGGCGAGCUAGAGUGCGGUAGAGGGUAGUGGAAUUCCCGGUGUAGCAGUGAAAUGCGUAGAGAUCGGGAGGAACAUCUGUGGCGAAGGCGACUACCUGGACCAGCACUGACACUGAGGCACGAAAGCGUGGGGAGCAAACAGG
rnacentral:rRNA from 1 species